AUCCGUAGCCCAAUCAGUGUCGAGGUUUUGCCGCUGCUGCUCUUCUUCGGCGAAUCUGCGAGCGGCCGAAGAGAGAGAAAAAGUUCGCCGAGAUGUUCGAGCUGUUCGUCCUUGGGUGCACCGGCGUGGUGGUCUUCCUACACGGCGCCAACUUUUUCUUCCGCGCCCUGUCCCACCGUCUCACCGCCCGUCCUCUCAGCUUCUUGGGAGUCGGGUGGUGGUAGGGCUUCGGUCGCGGAAGAAUCCGUGGUGAUUCCUCCUCCAUGCGCCACACGACUCAUGAUCUGAGUCUGUCCAUGAAUUAAUCGACGAAGGCGAAGCAUGUAAUCAUUGUAGAAAGACUCUGACCAACUAUAAUUUGGUGUCUUUAUCGUGAAUGGAGAUCUACUAUUCUACA